rnacentral:rRNA from 1 species
GGACUACUCGGGUAUCUAAUCCCGUUCGCUCCCCUAGCUUUCGUCCAUGAGCGUCAGUAGCUUCCCAGGACCCUGCCUGCGCCUUUGGUGUUCCUCCGGAUCUCUACGCAUUUCACCACUCCACCCGGAAUUCCAGGUCCCUCUGAAGCCCUCAAGUCCCGCAGUUUUCGAGGACCUUGCGCAGUGAAGCCGCGCACUGUCACCUCGAACUUGCUUGACCGCCUGCGGACGCUUUACGCCCAAUAAAUCCGGACAACGCUCGCCCCCUACGUAUUACCGCGGCUGCUGGCAC